UAUUACGUGUACACACCGGGUCCAUCGUUAUGGUGGCCUCGACCUGGACGUUUGCGGACACCGUGACACCGUCUCGAUAUUUAUCAGCAAGAUUACACUUUACAUAGAACCGUAGAGACGUCGUAGACGAAACUCAGUUCAAGGAAGACGGGACCGGAACGCAGUUGUCUAAAGUUUCGUGAGUUACGGAGCAUUUCAACAAUUUGAGGUAGCAGAACUUCUGGAGAAGACACUCUGUUCAUGACUAUUUUCAUACUUCGAUGUUCAAAACGUUCUGUAUUGUCUCUUAAAGAGCCACCUAUGCCACUAACCAUCACCACCUAAGCGUCACCAAGUGUUCCCUUUCGAACUUCUACCAACACAUCGACACUUCUUCAAGGUGCUUCAUGAUCUCAUGUUUAGUAAACUCGCACUCCAACUGACAGACUAUUCCUAAUUCGUGGUUUUAUAUCAUGCUACAUAGCCAAUAAUACGACCUCUUGUUUUUUUCUACCACUACUACCUGCCGUUCUUAGAAAACCAUCCUCAAGCUGUGGUUGACUAAACAAAGCUCAUAGAAGUGUUACCUUCGGAAGCGUCCUUAGAACUACCAUACUGUCCACGGGCCGGAUAAAAAUACACAUUUAAAGAGGUUUAAUAUAGGGGGGGGGG
rnacentral:rRNA from 1 species